rnacentral:tRNA from 1 species
GAGGGUAUAGCUAAGUGGUAGAGUGUGUGCCUAACAUGCACAAGGUCCUGGGUUCAAUCCCCAGUACCUCCA